rnacentral:rRNA from 1 species
GAUGAACGCUGGCGGCGUGCCUAAUACAUGCAAGUCGAGCGAACGGACGAGAAGCUUGCUUCUCUGAUGUUAGCGGCGGACGGGUGAGUAACACGUGGAUAACCUACCUAUAAGACUGGGAUAACUUCGGGAAACCGGAGCUAAUACCGGAUGAUAUUUUGAACCGCAUGGUUCAAAAGUGAAAGACGGUCUUGCUGUCACUUAUAGAUGGAUCCGCGCUGCAUUAGCUAGUUGGUAAGGUAACGGCUUACCAAGGCAACGAUGCAUAGCCGACCUGAGAGGGUGAUCGGCCACACUGGAACUGAGACACGGUCCAGGCUCCUACGGGAGGCAGCAGUAGGGAAUCUUCCGCAAUGGGCGAAAGCCUGACGGAGCAACGCCGCGUGAGUGAUGAAGGUCUUCGGAUCGUAAAACUCUGUUAUUAGUGAAGAACAUAUGUGUAAGUAACUGUGCACAUCUUGACGGUACCUAAUCAGAAAGCCACGGCUAACUACGUG